CUAAAGCAUAUGCUAUACCAAAUAAAACCUAAGUUUAACUAAUUGAACUGUUUGUUCUUAACAUGACUACAUGCUUUCAUCAUGGCUGCUAAAUAUUUAGUUUUUUGUUUUUCAAAAGGUAAAAUAAAAUAUAAGUACCCUUUUACGCUUUCAUAUGACAUUGAUCACACUCUAGUUAUACUUUCCAUCAAUAAAAUCAACAGCUAGGCCCGUCAUUUUUAACCUUUAAUUGGGUUCGGGCUUCUCGUGUCACUUAUUAACCGAGACCCGAUCACCGAAAACGCCCGACUCGGUUAAUAAGUGACAUGAGAUGCCCGAACCCAAUUAAAGGUUAGACUCAAAACCGAACACAUUUAAUCAGUUCAGUUAUUGGGAUAAAUUUAUGCUAUUUCAAAUAAACUUAACAAAGAUUUAACGUAUGUUGGUAAAAAGGGCGAAUAUACCAUCAAUGAGUGAACAAUUUGGACUAAAAGUGACAUGACCAUCGUUUUACUAAACUAACUGUAAUUUAGAAUAAAAAAGGGACAACGUGUCAACAAAUAUACUAUACCCACCAAUUUCCCAUUUUACCUCCUCUAUAACAAAUGUAUGUGGAUGAUAAAUAUUGAUGCUAUGUCAGCUUUGAGUGAUGGGAAACGCUUCAACUCCUGCAAAGAGUGA
rnacentral:lncRNA from 1 species